AGUUAGCUUUUUAUAGAUUGACUUGGAAGUAUGUUGAGUUUUUUAAAAAUGUGGCUGUCUACUUUGAAUUUGAAUUUACUUAAUAUUUGAAUAACUUGGAAUAUUAUUUUUAGGCAUAGUACUUGUUAUUUUAAAAAAUUGUUAUAUAUUGGAUUAAUUAUAUAAAACAAAUAUGAAAUAAACAUAUGAGUUUCUACUUAUAUAAAUAAAUAAUUGAGUAAAGAAAUAAGUGUAAGAGAAGAGGUACAUCUUCCUUACAGAACAAUUCCAAAUAAUAAUAUAUGUAGAUAAUACCCACUUCAAGGGAGGAGGCUUAAUCUCCUAUCCCCCAAGUUUGGACGGGACUUAGCCAGUUUCUUGUAAAAAAUAAAUGACAGAAGGAGAAAAAUAGUAACUUUACAGUUGAGAAACCUGGCAAAUACUACCUUAACUAAACAAUGUUGUGCAGAUAUCAUGUAUUCACUGAUAUGAUAUGAUGGAAAAAGUACUACAGCUGUGUGAUAUUCUCUCCAAAACCCAUAACCCAAGUCUAGUCAUGAGAAAAAUAUCAGACUAACCCAAAUUGAGGGAGCUUCUAACACACACCUGACCAGUACUUCUCAAAACUGUCAAAAUCAUGAAAAACACAGAAAGAGUAAGGAACUGUCACCCACAGUUAGAGACUAAGGUGACGUGACAGCCAAGAACACUACGGUAUCCUGGAUAGAACCUGGAAUAAACAAAGGACGCUAGUAGAAAAUUGGUGAAAUCUAAAUAAAGUAUGGAGUUCAGUGACAAGGAAUGUACCAAUGUUGGUGUCUCAGUUGUGACGAAUUUACCAUGGUAAUACAAGAUGAUAAGAUUAGGGAAACUGAAACUGGAUGAAGAGUGUAUGGGGAUGCUGUAUUUUCUUUGUAAUUUUUCUCUAAAUGUGAAGGUAUAUUUUUUAAAAAUGUAGUUAUAUAUGUGAGAGAUUGUUCUUUGAAGCUGUCAUUUUAUAUCUGAGCUUUCUUUUAAAAAAUUACUUCAGAUGUAUCGGAACAGUACAACAUCUAAAGAGUAAAUUUGGAAAAGGCUACUUUUUGGAAAUUAAAUUGAAGGACUGGAUAGAAAACCUAGAAGUAGACCGCCUUCAAAGAGAAAUUCAGUAUAUUUUCCCAAAUGCAAGCCGUCAGGAAAGUUUUUCUUCUAUUUUGGCUUAUAAAAUUCCUAAGGAAGAUGUUCAGUCCCUUUCACAAUCUUUUUUUAAGCUGGAAGAAGGUAAGUAGUAUUUGAAAAGCAUUUAUGUUGUAGCUCUCAAAUUAUGAAAGAAUUUUAUUUAAAAAGUUUAAAACUGGGGACUCGGUUUAUUUUAGAAACUAUGGCAGAUAAGAAGAUAACCUUUUAUUCAUUUAAUCUAAGACACAGGUAAACACUAAUGUCAUAGGGAUUUUGUAGAUAAACUCUAUUGUAAUGUAAACCUUUUACAGUCUUUAGAGAGCAUUGACACAGUUUAUCACAUUGCAUCUAUGAGAAGGGUCAGCUUAAUUAUCGAGUCUUUGCAGUUAGUCCAGCAGUAAGAGCUCUGAGUUUCUUGAAUCCUUACUUCAUACCGGUCCAUAGAAGUAGCAACACUAUCAAGACUCCAGUGGCAAAGAGAAUUCUGAGUGUAGCGAGGGGUGGGCAGUCCCCAAAAUUUUAAGGAAGCUUAUAGAAUCUUGGCAUUUUAAAAAUAAGUGGUAUGUAGGAUAACUAUAUAUAUGCUGGUGACAGUUGAGGGAGAUCACCUCCUGGAAGAAUCAGAUAUUCAUAUGC
rnacentral:sRNA from 1 species